GCAACAACGAGUUCGUUCUGGAUAUAAAAUUAGGUGAUUCUGGUUAUCCUUUAAGGCCAUGGGUAAUGACAGCAUAUAGUUCAAGUGUUAUCGAAGACGAAAUAAGAUAUAAUAAAAUUCAUGCUAAAACCAGAAACUGCGUAGAACGAAUUAAUGAAGUCUUCAUUUGGUAGUGAUGAAAUAAACGAUGAACCACUACGUGUAGCAUCUAGAGUACGAGACAGAUUAAAAGAAAGGUUUUCACGCAAUCGUCAACUUUAACAUAUUUCAAAAAAAGUAGCCUAUAGUACAUACAUAAAUAAAACGAUAACUAACCAAAAA